GGACCUUUAGCUCAGUUGGUAGAGCAGACGGCUCAUAACCGUCCAGUCGUAGGUUCGACUCCUACAAGGUCCA
rnacentral:tRNA from 1 species